UAAGUAAACGUACUGACAUGUUUCACGACAUUAUACGACACGACAGUGGUUGUACGUCUAGUUACUUCGUUAUUCCACGAAUGUUUUAGCGUUACUAUUUGUUGUAACUCCAGCUACUUGCCUAUGCUGCGAAUCUUUUAGUGUAACGGUUUGGUGUAAAUAUAAUCACGUAGUUUUUUCCAAGCAAGGUUUACACAGAAGCAGAUCCUACCUACCUACCUACCUGACGACCUACUUGACAUUCCACUAAUACUGCAACCCAAUCCAGUACAACCCAGUGGAAGAAUGACCAGAAAUGCAAAAAUAUUUCAAGAAACUAUGGGAUAUCUUCUCGUCGUAGUCAACAUGAGACACAUUCUCUUGAAGGUUCUACCGAAAAGCAAAGAGGGGGUGAUCGGAAAGGAGCAAAAUGUUCAAGAAAACACUUAAUGACUAACUGUAAUAACUGAAAAUGAAGGUUUUUCUAAUAAAGGCAAGUGCCAUACCGUAUUAAUAUAUUUUGUGAUUAUGCAUGUAUUAAUUAAUAAACGUUUUAAAAUUAAAA
rnacentral:misc_RNA from 1 species